AACCAACACCAACAAGCGGAACUGUUUCCUUCACAGCCAGUGCAGGCCUGAUUGUUUCUCUCGUUAUGGCUUUGUUGCACUAAGCAAGAGGACCUCUCUUUGUGUUUCAAGCCAUGUGGUUUUUUUAUUUCUUAGUAUUGCU